GGAUCCUUUAGAGUUUCAAUAGGCCUUGUCUUGGCCAUCAAAACAAUAAUGAAGGCUCAUACAUUGGAAGACUUGUUGUUGAAGCAUAUGGGUUGGUUCAAAGGACUUGCUUGAGGGGUAGGCCUCAUGGAAACCGUAAUCAAGGAAGGAAUGGUCUUGAUGGACUUUGUAGCCUGACUUUCCAUCUGGUGCCAUCUAAAACCCUAAUCUCAUCCAUUGGUCACUCAUUGAUUGAUU
rnacentral:lncRNA from 1 species